AGCGCAAGUCGUCGGGCGAAUCAAAUACUGACACGUGGCAAUUUUUUUUUUUUUAAAAAUCAAUUAAAUUUUUUGCCAAACCCACGUAUUCUACUUUCUGUUCAUGGAAGUUACAACAUUCGAUUUAACAACCGUUUCUGUUUUUUAGCCAAAAAACUGUUUUUUUUAAACGAAGCAACAAAAAAAACUGUUUAUAUCUUCUUCAUCACAAACAAAAGUAUCCAUUUGUCUAUUUUCUUCACACGUUUCCAAUUAUGUUUUCAAAUCUUUGUUAUUAAAUUGUCUCUGACACAUUUGUAACAAGUACAAACUUCAUUUUAACGUCCGUGUUGGUCUCAUUGCAAAGUUUCAACAAUGAAGAUUCCAAAUCCUAAUAAAAUAACCAGGGAGAAGGAGACAACAACAUCAGAAGUCAACCACAAUCUAUGGCAAAGAAAACAAACUCGCAGAUUCUACCGAUAGUUCUUCGACAUGCUUCAUUUUCAAAACAAAAAAAAACAUGCUCCAAUAUGCAUGGAAAGCAACACUACGUCAAAAUUACAAAGGAUAUGUAAAAUAAUUUUGUGUCAUUGUAUUUUUAAUUAACGUAAAUCAACUAAUUUGUAUGUUUGGUUUCAGCGACCAAUAUGAAUAUUCAAGAUCCGGAAAAGAAUAUAAACGGAGCAGCAUUCAAAUUGCAACACUGAGAGAAAAAUUCAGUUUACUGCAUUGGUAAACAAUUGUAUAUUAAAAGCAUCAUAUCAUUCUUAAUUUUCCUACUCUCCUAUCAUUUUUGCUUUGAUGUGAAAUGCAGAAAAUAUCUUCUCAAGCACUGCAAGCGCUUUUGCAUCUUCUUCAAAAGUUGUAUCAAGACAGCCCUAAAUGAUAUUUCAAACAGUAA